GCUGGCGGCGUGCCUCAUACAUGCAAGUGGAGCGACGAACCAGGCUUCGGCCUGGGGCAAAGCCGCGAACGGGUGAGUAACACGUGGGUAACCUGCCCCGAUGAUUGGGACAACUCGAGGAAACUCGGGCUAAUACCAAAUGUGCUCCUGGCCGUGAUGGCCAGGUGGAAAGGAAGCUUCGGCCUCCGCAUCGGGAUGGGCCCGCGGCCCAUUAGCUAGUUGGUGGGGUAAUGGCCUACCAAGGCGACGAUGGGUAGCUGGUCUGAGAGGACGAUCAGCCACACUGGGACUGAGACACGGCCCAGACUCCUACGGGAGGCAGCAGUAGGGAAUCUUGCGCAAUGCGCGAAAGCGUGACGCAGCAACGCCGCGUGGGGGAAGAAGGCCUUCGGGUUGUAAACCCCUUUCAGUUGGGACGAAGCUCCGUCGGUUAAUAGCCGGCUGGAGUGACGGUACCUUCACAAGAAGCACCGGCUAACUACGUGCCAGCAGCCGCGGUAAUACGUAGGGUGCAAGCGUUGUCCGGAAUCAUUGGGCGUAAAGAGCGUGUAGGCGGCUCGAUCAGUCCGCUGUAAAAGUCCAGGGCUCAACCCUGG
rnacentral:rRNA from 1 species